AUGACGUGUAUUGAUUGGCUUCAGGGCGCACGCUGUUGCCGGUUGGACAGACGGGGAUUUCUCUAACCGGAUUGUUGCUGCUAAGAUAAGAUAAGAGGAUUGGAAAAAACUCUCCGUCAGUUUUUGUGUCUUGGUUGCUCGCUUGGCUGAUGCCUCGUCAGUAUAGCGUCCUUCUGCUGCCAGCGAAACCGAAAACCGACAGGAGGAUGAGCAUCGACUACAGCUCCUGGGAUCACAUCUACGUGUCCGACGACGAAGACGCCACCAGUCCGUACGUGGACACACCGAGCCUGUUCCGAAUGAGACACCGGGUCCGACUCGAGAAAAUGGCUGAAUUUCAGCAGAGGGGCGAAGAUCUGGAAAAUAACUUUGCAGAAUGUAAAAGGCUAUUAGAGGAGGCCCAGGGACAACUUAAAGAGCUGGAAGAUGGAAGGGAGGAGGGUGAGGAAGAUGAGGAGAGAGAGGCUGAGCUGGAGAAAGUCCAGGCCGUGGUGAAAAAACUGAAGAAGGAUGAAAAGACAUUUGCGAAACUGAUUGAGGAGUACCGGCGAGAAGAAAAGAAAGUACCUUGGAAUGUAGACACAAUCAGCAAAGAAGGUUUCAGCAAGAGUGUGCUCAACACCAAACCUGUACCAAAGGAGGAAACACAGGAGGAAAAGGUGGAGAAGCACAAGACCUUUGUGGAGAAGUACGCAACGGAAAUCAAACACUUUGGUAUGUUGCGGCGUUGGGACGACAGUCAGAAGUAUCUAUCAGACAACCCACAUCUGGUGUGUGAAGAGACAGCUAAUUGUCUUGUUGUCAUCUGUAUUGACUUUGAGAUUGACGAGAAACAUGCCCUCAUGGAGCAGGUGGCUCACCAAACCAUCGUCAUGCAGUUCAUCUUGGAUUUGGCUCGGACACUGGAGGUUGACCCGAGAGGCUGUUUCAGACAAUUCUUCUCAAAGAUCAAGACUGCGGAUAAGCCAUACCAGGAUGCGUUCGACCACGAGCUGGAAUUACUGAAGGAACGGAUAUGCAGCUGUGCUCAGCUUCGUAUGGAGAACGCUAUGAAGGAGCUGGAGGAGGAGGAGAAGCAGAAGAGACUGGGCCCAGGAGGUUUAGACCCUGUAGAAGUCUACCAGUCACUACCAAAGGUAAAUCAUACCACAAAUGUGUGCACACACUCCUGAGAAUUUGAGAAUGCAGUUUUUUUUCUAUCAAUACAAUGAACGCUGUCUUUUUGGGUGAUUGCUACGAUAAUAAAAUAAUAAAAAAUUUUGAGUGAAGAGUGAAAACAGCAGGUAACUUGCAGGAGCAGAGGAUGAAGUAAUGUGGAGUAAUAUUAACAAAACACAAGCAAUGGGAGGUGAGUAAUAAUUUUUAAAGCUUUCUUGAGAUAAAUAGAAGUUGAUGUAUUUCAUGCUAAAUUAAGAUAGGACUAAUAAUGUACAAUGGUUCAUAGAUGAUAUAGAACAAACUAUUUCAUGUUUGUUCCAAACUGCCAACAUUAAAUUGCCUGAAUUAUGGAGUGUUUGGUGACUUUUGUUCUAAUGGAAAAGACACAUUGUUUAGCCCGUGAAGAAUGUUUUUGCCAUUUUUUCUUUUACAUGCAUUCAGUCUGAUUAAUGAGUGAAAUGUUCUCUUAGUCAGACAUUAGGUUGUGUUCAGAGCCACAGUGGAUGUAAUUCAGCUCUGUCUCUUUCUCUUUUACUUGCUCUGUGUUUCAUUAUAGCAGUUCACAGUAUGUGGUUUUGUCAUUUGUGUCUCCGUUAGAUAGCUGCAUUAUUACAUAAACAAAUUCAAUAGUCUUUGCACAAGCUGAUCAAUAAAUCCUCUUUGAUGAGAUCCAAAUAAGUCUGUAACAGACCAUCCCUCCUCAUAUUUUUGAAUUUAAUAUUGUAUGUUUAGAAAAUGUGAGUCUCCCUCACUCGCUGCAAAACUAGGAUGAAUUGACUUCAGCAAGAUGUCAUGCAGAUGCAUCCUGCAGCUGAAAAAGUGGUUGUUGCCCCACUCUGUCCCCUGGGGCUGUGAGAGAGCAGUAUCUCUCGUUGCAUCUACUGUUGUUUACACAGCACAUCAAAUUCGACACUUUGUUGUGCUGGAGCUACAAGCCAGACAAGUCAAAACUGCAGAUCAGCUCAUACAUGUGAUCAUUAGCCACCUGACUGCAAGUUAUUAUGUUCAUUUUUUCAUUAUUACAUCAUAUUGGCUUCAUUUACAUUAAUGUUUAAUAGUGUGCAUAAUGUAAAGGUAUGCUGUUUAUCCUGAUCAGAAGGGGAAACUUUGCUUUAUUCUUGUUCAUAAUCAGCUUUGGGAAAAUAUGUUGCUUUUUCCCCUCAAAUAGAGUUCACACUGUAUGGACUGUUUAAUGUGUGAUGAUUUACUUAUUAUAAGCUUAGAAUAUUUGUUACAGUAUUUUACAUACUUAUAGUGGUGAGGUAAAGGUCAAAUUCUCAUUGGAGUUUAUUCUAUGGAUAGUUAGAGUCGUGUUGUUGGAGUUUCCGAGUUGAACCAUUUAAAUGUAAUAGCUUUCUUUCUAACAGCCAAGAAUAUUUUGAAGAGAUAUUCAAGCUCUUGUCUAUGAUUCUAUCCAGGUAUGAUAUGGUAAUAUGGAAUUGUUCUCUCUGUUCUGUCUUUAGUUGGUAAUCUUAGCUGGAACAUAUUGUUCCAAUCAUCAUCAGAGGCUUCAGACCAGAUUCUUUUCAUCAUUUCAUUUGUUUAAUUUCUUCAUCAAAAUUAUUUCUGAUCAGGAGAAAGCUAAAGAAAUCUUUCUAUUAAAGACUGGAAGGCAUGUAAAAGUCUCUUUGCUAUUUAAUGACCUGUUUUAAAGAAAUCUCGUUACUUUGACAACCUUGUAGUUGGUACAAGGGGUGCAUUUUUUCAGACAUCAAACCACUGUAAAUUUUGAAAAUAGCUGAUGUAAGCUAUUUGGCCUUCUGGAUAAAAAGGAACGUCAGUACAGGUCAGCAGAAUGAACUCCGUCAACCAGGCAUGAACUCUCUGUCAAAGGAAAUACAGAGGAGCUUUGAUGAAAAGAACAUUCAGAUGCUGCAGGAAGCUAUGAACAAGCUGGACUUUGAAGAAGGAAAAUACCACCUGAAGAGGUGUAUUGACUCUGGACUCUGGGUACCUGAUUC